rnacentral:rRNA from 1 species
GAUGAACGCUGGCGGCGUGCUUAACACAUGCAAGUCGAACGGUGAAGGCGGAGCUUGCUCUGCUGGAUCAGUGGCGAACGGGUGAGUAACACGUUAGCAAUCUGCCCCUGACUCUGGGAUAAGCGCUGGAAACGGCGUCUAAUACUGGAUACGAGCUGCGAAGGCAUCUUCAGCAGCUGGAAAGAACUUCGGUCAGGGAUGAGCUCGCGGCCUAUCAGCUUGUUGGUGAGGUAACGGCUCACCAAGGCGUCGACGGGUAGCCGGCCUGAGAGGGUGACCGGCCACACUGGGACUGAGACACGGCCCAGACUCCUACGGGAGGCAGCAGUGGGGAAUAUUGCCCAAUGGGCGGAAGCCUGAUGCAGCAACGCCGCGUGAGGGAAGACGGCCUUCGGGUUGUAAACCUCUUUUAGCAGGGAAGAAGCGAAAGUGACGGUACCUGCAGAAAAAGCGCCGGCUAACUACGUG